AAAAAGGGGAGAAAGAUGGAAUGUGAUGUAUAUAGUAUAUAUAUACAUAUAAACAUGUAAAACAUGGAAAAAGGAACAUGAAUGCCAAAGAUUGUUUGUCAAGACUAAAGAAUGUCCAUCACGAGAAAAAAAGAUUAAGUUGUUAAAAUAAGUUACAUAUUGCAUAAAUUAAUGAGACCUUCCUGUAUAUCGUUGAUUUGAUUAAUUUAUGAAAACGCAAUAGAUACCGUUUAAGAAUUUUGUGUAUUUUGGAAUUUCAAAAUUGUUCUAUUUAGUCUGGGAUCAUUUUACUAGACUUUACAAGAUUAAAGCAUAAAUUUGAAAAACUUUAAGAGAUUCUAACUAGAUAUCCAAUGUCAUUAUUUACUAUUCAAAUAUCAAGGGUUGUGUCUGGUUUUUGUAUUCUUGUGGACGUUAUCACGAUUUUGAUUUAAUCCGGGCUAUCUAUUCGUGACGUUUUUGUCAUUUUUGAAUGAUUAUCUCUUUAUCUUUAUCUGGAUGGCCAAGUAUAUUUCCAUGGAAAAAUUUUCAGGAAAGUGCCGACGCUGCAUAUCAAGAUCGCAUAGUCCGGUUGAUUGUGCAAGUUCUUAAAUGCACGUGGAAUGCUUUAAGUUACGACUCAUUUCACUUGGGUAAUUUUUGAAGAAAUAUUUAUUGCGUAUCAAUGUCUAAUAGUAAAAAAUCCAUGCGCCGCGACGCCUCGAGAUAUUUCUAAAAGGCGCCGUUCUUUAGGGGGAAAAAAUGGUUAGGUUACUCUUAUCAAAUAAAUUAUACUGACCCGUUAUUAUCAAACUUGAAAGAACCUCACACCGUCUCAUGUCACUUCGUUUAGACCGAUCGGAUUUAUCUAUACUGAUGUAGGGCAAAGGUCAUGUUUUGCUUUCUCUGUUUAAUAAAAAAAUAUGCACGUUGCGUAAGAUCCUAUUUCUUUUAAUUGAUACGUUGAUCAUACGAUUAUGUUACUGAUGAGAUCUCUUCAGAGCUUAAAUUCUCAUGGUGAUAUUUGCAUAUGAACAUAUUAUAACAAUAUGGAUUAGAUCGCUUAAACCGGACUUUACGAUCUUUAUGGGUUUUAUUAAAGUAACAAUGAAUUCAUUGAGAGAUAAGUUAAGUAGGUCAAUCUUACAUUGGUUUAUAUCAAAUAGAACUGAUUGCGAAUAGAUAAGGUUAAUUAAUUAAAGAAAUUACAAGUGUUUGGCGAUACUCGUGUUUUUAUAGAAAAAGAAUAAGAGUCUGUUGUUAUGUAGUUUCUUUAACGGACCGCUGUUAUUUGAAUAAAGAUAUUUUCCUUGAACGAUCAAUAUUGAUUCGGUCAUCGAUAUAAUUUGAAUCGUAGAAUUUAACGUGUAAAUUUGAAAUUCUUUUCUUAACAUUUUCGCAAAACCUAAACAACACAAAUCAUCUAUUAUAAUGGUUUACAAUAGUUAUCAAAUCCGAUGGACAAUUGUAUUUGCCAAUCGUUAUUCAUGCAUAUACAAUUUUUAAGAGUUCAUCGACACGUGAGAUAAGUUCAUAAAACGAAUCGUUCCUUGUUUUAGUUUUCUUGUUUCCUCGGCUCCUGUAAUUUGAACUAAAAUGUCUACCCGUUCGUGCCAGCACUCACGUACUCAUUGGUUUUUCGUGGCAUCCCGGUGCAUUCUUGACCGGUUUCGAGGCUUCGACUAUGGACUGAAGGAAGCACUGGCGAGUUGAUUCAUCAUGUCCAUCAGGAAUAUAACUGAGGAAUAUAAUUAUAAUUAUAAUGUCGUCGAAUGCACUGGAUGCACUCAAUCUGCUACAGUGCAUAUUGCACAAGUUGCGCAAGUCUUACUUUUUCAAAAAAUUUGACUUACUUAACAAAUGACACUAACUAUUGAAUCUUUUCAGAAAAAUUGGUAAAAAGGAAUAACCACUGACGUUCAACGUACAGCCAGAUUAAUAUGUGGUAACAAUGAUUAGAUUAUUAGAAAAAUAAGAUAAGACAGCUGCUAAGAAAGUAAAAAUGUCUAAUAUUUCUAAUCGUCGUAAUCUCGCAAUACAAGCAAUGUAAAACAUCAGUGUAGUAUAAUAAUGAAAAUAUUUUUCACAACGCAAUCGACAAUUCGUAUAUUCUCUGAUAAUCGAAUGGUAUUAAAGGUAAGACUAAUUUUCCGAAAUACUUUUGCACGCGAAUCAUUACGCUAAUGAUUAAUUUGUAGUAAUCGUUCACGCACAUUAUAAGAUAAGAGCACGUAGUACGGCCGUUUAAUCACUAAAUCGUAUAAGGAAAGGAAAAUCCAAUGUUUAUCUCGUUAGGCACCAACGUACAGAAAAUGAGGUUAGAAUCUGAUGCAAUUGUCUAUUGGAAAAUGCAUAAGAUAAUAACCGCGUGGCAAAAGCGAUCGUGUAUCAAAGUAAACUUGUUGGCAGUAAUAUUUUCAAAAUAGAUAUUGAACUUUGAGCGAUAAGAUGCAUUCCGACCUAACAUUAUGAUUAUUAUACAUAUACGCGUGGCAUCGAAGCACGCUAAUGGAAUUUUUCGUAUGAUUUAUGAGAGCCGAUCAAUGUGAACGUGUCGUAGAUCAUUUUACAAGAUCGUAAAAUAAUUAAAGUAAAGAUAAUGGGAUCGAAAUAACGAUAAUGUCUCUGUAAAAACAUUAAAAAUUCAAUGUAUUCGUCGCGUGUCGCGUUAAUAAACUUUCUCCUUUUGGUUACCAAACGAUAAAAGCGAUAUAUAUCAUGUCAGUUAUUGAUGUCUGCACAGUUGUCCGUAAGAUAAGAAGAAGCAUAAUAAAUAAUUUUUCAAAAAACUACUGCGAUUCCAGUCUCAUGUUAAACCGAAGAAUGUGAACUUGAAGAAAUGUGUAGACAUCCAAUGAAACUUAUCGAUGACACCAGAGCUUUUGAUAGCGAUAAGCCUAAUAAAAGUAUUGAAUUGACAACAAUUGACGUUCUUAGGAAUUUUCGAUACUCGAUGCAUGAACGUCAUUGAUCAACUCUGAAGUUUGUCUCCUAUGAUUGUAAAAUAUUCGUCGGUUAUCAAUGCUGCACUAGUUCCCAAUGACGACGAUACGUUUCAACGAAAUUUCAACUUUGUAUUAUUUAUGACAAAAAAACAUAUUUUCACGUUUCGCAAAACAACUGCGUAUAUUGUAUUCGACGUACAUUUUUUAUGAAUACUUUUUCUUGUAACAUGAUAUUGCACUGGGAUAUUUUGCGUUGACCUGGUUUAACGGCGUGCGGCAUUCCUUGUGUUGAUUUUAAAAUAAUAAAAUCUCAAUAUUGUAUUAGCAAACCGUUGUAUUGAACUUUACUGAGGUGCAUUGUAGUUACGUAUCGCGAGCUACAGGUAGCUAACCAGUUAAGAUGUACAAUAACAGCUUUCAAAUUCGAUGAGACGAUCUGCAUAUGGCUGUCAUGAUACACGUAUGUUUUAACUCCACACUGAACCGUCAAUAAAUUGACAGGCAACACGAGUGAUUUGAUAACGGUAAUAUAAGUUAGCGCGAAUAGGAUCAAAAAGGUUGUAAUAACGAGCAUAUUACUCAGUACACAAUAAUUAUAUUAGUGAUAUCGAGAUCCUAAAUCUUUCGACUGUUCUUUAUUAUCACGGUGACCUUAGCUGGGCUUAACUUCCGAUAAGAAUGAUAGAUAAUGAUCUAGCAUCAACAUAAACCUAAUCUAAAGGGCUGUCAGUGAAUGAAAACAAGAUUAUCAGUCGUAAGCGUAUAAAGUGCGUUGCGUUUGUAUUUAUUAUAAUUUUUUGGAUAAUUAUAUAACGUAUCUUAGGUCUCAAGUUCAUGUUAGAUAAAUUCAUACCAUAUUACAGUAACACUUAAUCCACCUUUUUUUUUUCAACAGCAGAUAAUUUGACAGCCAUUUAAGGAACCACGGACUAGUCGAAUCUUAAUAAAAUACAGAUAAAUCAUGUCCACGAGAUUCAUUACUUAAUCUAUUUUACUUACUCACUUAUUUCACUUAAUCUAUGCCUACACUUUAGAUUGUCUUUCAGCAAUCAAUUUUUAAAGUAUAAACCAGCGAGUCGGGUGCAUCUUUCAAACGUGUAAAACACUUAUAAGCCGCAGAUAGCUGAACUUCUAGAAGACAUGACUCCUGGUUAAGUGGUUAAAGGAAUUUAAUACAUCAAAUAUUAUCCUGUUGAAUUUCUAAUUUUAUAUAUGAUUAUGAUAUGAUAUUCUCGUGAUGCACAAAACACCAGCGAUAUGCAAUUUGAUGAUCGAUACCAUUGAAUAUGGCGAUGGCUCGGAUAAUCAAUUGAAGUAAAUAAUAAUUCUUGGAGGACACUACCGCCAAUCUCAAAGAUCAUGUAUAACAUACGUCAUAAAAUGCCUAGUUUUAUGUUACGGAUAUAGAAUUUUUCUUGGCAUAUUUUUUGUCUCUUUAAUACGAAUCUUGAUGGAAGAUGAUAUAAUAUUCUUGCGAAAGCUUUCUCAAUAACAUUCCCAUGCAAUUUGCGCAUUAAACUUCUAGUUACAUUCAUUCAAUGACGACAGCAAUGACGACUGCAAUGACAUUGACUAUUUUCAUAAUCAAAAAAUUGAUCUGCGGCAGAAGAUUCGAAAAGAAUCUUUACAUUUCCUCUUGUCGAGUUAACGAUUACUUUUCGUUCAUCCUGAUUGUGUUUUUAACACGCGACUUACAUUUUUACCUACUCCAUUGCCAACUGUCAGUCACUGACUGUCACCUUGAUUGUUGUGUUAGUCAGUUAGAAUUGCGCAUGGCUACUAUACAUCAUAUCAGUCGUUUCCGUCUUAUUCAAAGAAAAUAUAGUGUGUAUCCUACAGGUGCACUGAUGACAAUGAUGACCAUGAUGGUUGAUGACAGUGGGAUGAUUAUCCUAUGAAAAACAAAGCAAAAAUAAAUAUUAAAACAUUCAGCUUUGGUCUAUGAGAAAAUAAAGUUCUUGAUUAGAUCAAUUGUUAAUAAUGUGAUGCGCAGAUUCAAUAUGAUGCAUUUGCAACGUGCCUCCUCGAUAUGCCGACGACAGUGACGAUAAUCGUCAUACGACAAACAACCGUUCGUUGAUCUAAAUCGUUUUAUUUUUUAUACCAGCCAGUGUCUGUUGUUAUCAUUAUUAAACGAGGGUAAGAGACGAAGACUCGUACGAUUAUUGGCUGAUGAUAAACCACACGAAGAACUCCGAUCGUUGGAAAAAUACUGACAAUUUUUCCUUUAGUUGUAAUAACCUUGACAGCGCAUGCUCGAGUGGGCUUGACGAGGCUGCAGAAAUAUACAGUUUUAAGUUCAUUUUAAACAGUCUUCGUUAUCGUCAGAUAAAUUUCUGUCAUUGCUAUGAAUGACAGAUAACGACACUGUGGGACCAUGUGUUUCUCUUUUCCUUAGCGUAAAAAGAUAUAAAUUGAACAAUUCUGAUAGCCCCUCCGACUUUUACGCAAUACCAGAUUUAUAAUGUAGUCUGUGGAUAUAAGCUGUGUAUAAUCCAACGUGCGUCGUAUCACAGGACAAGGAACGUCAAAACAAAAAAAAGGUCGUCCACCUCAUAACAAAAGUGAAUUACCAACCUUCGGAUCACCAAAAUAAGCCAGGCACUGUUGCGUACCAUAAAACACAUCGUCAGUUCACUUACAGUAUGAAUAUCGCGUAUCCAUGAAGACUGUCAAUGAUUGAUGUUGACCUCAGUACUGAGAAAAAAUGUGUAACAAGUGUACCGACCUUCUUUGUAUGAAAUAUGUUAAUCGUAAACGGAAGUAAUACACUGCAAAUGAAAAUUUUACCAUUGGUCACAUUAUAAAAAAACCUUCUCUUCCACCAAGGAAAAUCCUUAUUGAAGACGCGUGUCUAGGAUUUUGAUGUGGACCAGUAAAGUAACCUCACAUAUCCAUUGACGGGGAAACAGUUUAAAGACCGACGUUACAUUCAUACGAUAGACUUCGAGGUUAAGGUCGAGGUAAUCAGGAUCUGAAUACUGGUGUAAAUAUACGUAUGUACUGUGGAUCACAAUAACUGGACCUGUUUUCAUACCGGCGAUUAACCUUCCUCUCUUCUUUCUUCCUACCAGACGUCAUAGGUACGUAAAACGUUGUGACUCGGAAGUCUUACUGAAAAAUUGACUUGUAUCGAGUAGCGACUCAUUCGGUUCAGCGAUUCUCUCGGCGUUCUAACCUCUUUAAUGGAAUCGACGUCACGUGCUUGGCGUACAAAUAACGCAUCUUGUAUGGAUCUUCGACUUGGUAUAGGAAGAUGCAGCAACGUAUGCAACGCGCUAGAUUCCAUGUGGAAUUUAUGACAUACUCGAACGUGCACUUGAUUCCGGAGGACACUAACGUAAAUAGUACAAGAUCACUAUGUGUACAGUGGAUUGCACUUCAAUAGUUGCAGUGAGGAUGCAGCAUUAUACGUAUACACUGAACUUACAUAGUAGCAACAUUAACUGGAUAGAACUUUUUUUUUAUUAUUGCAUCAAAAAUAUAAAGUAUAUUAGUAUUGUAAAAAUAGUUAAUUAAAAUUCUAUUGUACUGUUAAAACUGCUUGAUUGGAGUACGCCACUCUGAUUCAUAGUGCAUUAACGAACGCAUCAUGUAUUAUGAGUUAUACGUUUAAAUCAGAAUGGAUACCACUUAGGGUGGUUACCAUAAAUUUUGAGUCGUUGGCAACAUUGCAACAGGUACAAGAUGAAUGGUUUAACCGGCACUAUUUUUUCAUUUGACUCUCCUGACAAUUUUGUCAUAAUUUCGAUACACAUAUAGGGACUCCUACCUCUUGGUUUUUCUUUGAUUUCUUAUUCCAUGGGGACUUCUUUAUGUUUUGGUGCAACUUUGACAGGCAUAAAACUUUUUCGAAAACUAAAGCACUGAUCAUCCACCUUCUUCUCGGCACGUGUGACUUUCGCAGACUGUGGAACUGUUCGAAAACUUUCCAUUGCUGGUGCGAAUCGAUAACGGCCCUUCCUGGGAGAAGGCUCUGGAGAAUCUAUAAUUGUUUUACUAAGUUGUUUACUGGAAUAAGAGAACGAAAUUUUCUCUCCUGGGAUUUACAUCUAAUAUAUUAUUUGACCAGAGAGAAUCUGAACGAUCGAGUCUGUUUCGAAAGUGUUGUGGCAGCUUUGUCAACAGACGGACGUAUGUAGCUAGUCAAAAGAGAGUAGAAGAAUAUAAAUUUUAGCGUCGUUUUGUCUAGUUUUAUUUCACGUGUUUGUUCUCCGUGGCAUCAAUGUUUUUUUUUUUAAAGACACGACGAACUUCGAAAUUUUCAGAUUUCCUCGUUAGCCGUUAAAACCUGCUUUGUUAGUUGCUGGAAACACUUAAAAAUUAGAUUCCUUGCACAGUGCACGUUUUAAGACUCUAUCGAUAUAUUUUUCGAUUGUUUGUCGCUAUAAGAGACACUGCAGAAUAACACAAAGUAAAAUUGUCACUGUCUGUUAUUUAACGUUCACUCAACCGUAUUGAGUACCAUCAUUUUUUAAUGAGGCAUCAUUAUUCAUCUCUUCACUGUGUCGAUACGCUAAACAAAUAUCGUACACCUAUGUAUUCGCAAACUUGCUAUUUCACUACUUUGCAAAAAAAUGACGUAAUACUAUUAAGUCAAGUAGAAAUUAUAGCUCGUUAUACCAUUUGGGUAAUACUAAUAUAUCUUCCGUUUUAUAGGCCGCAUACAAAGUACAUGAAAAAUACGUAAAUCAUUAACAUAAAUAAAAACGUCGCUCAAUACCUUCAAUAUUUUUUUUUUGUGAUUUGAUGGUGGCUGCGUCCAUACGUUCUGUUUGAAAUUUUUCAUGUAAAAAUAUUAAUUUCAAACGUGCACACAUUUUUCAACAUCAUACUACAGUCCAUAUCUUCCGCUACUGGGACAAUUGGCCCAUCUUUUUUGGCAGUUCUGCUCAUUCUUAGAAUUCUUUACUAAACUUUACCAGGACACAGAAAACGUUUGUUUCAAUAUCUAUUGAGACUUAACAGUAGUCAAUUGACACGCCAUCCAGGUCCCGCCGGUCUUUCGCCGAAAACUAUGACUAUAACAAAAAAUACAGGAUACUAAACGUACGUAAAUACAUAAGUGCACAAGCCAUAGAAGUGAUACUGGCCCAUAGAAACGAUUAAGAAUAACGGCGGGUUCUUCUAAGAUUUGAAUUUGACAUAAAUUGCGCGAAAAUCUGUCUGCCAAAAGUAUCCUCACACUGUCUGCUAAGAAUUUGAUAGGAAAAAUUUGCGUUUCAAAAAUUAUUGUAUAUUUAACAAAGCCGUUUAAGCGGUAACAGAAUUUUGUCUAGACUCGUGGAAAUUGUGUAACUUUGGUCAUGCGCGAAAAAAACUAGGUUUUUUUUUCAUACAAUCCGUGUAAUCAUCAAUCACUAUACUGUGUAACAACAUUUGUUCGUAUGUGUAACAACGUUUGUUCAGCAUUGCGAUCGUAAUCGUAAUUGUCUCCGCGAGCGUAAUCGAAAUCGCGGGAAGUCAAGCCCAUGAUAAUUAACUUAAAUUGGGGGUAUUACAUUUGAUUAAUUAACAGAUGUUUUUCCCCUCUCUCUUUUCCUCUUGCGUAAUGAAGUAUUCUUAUGGAUUAUCACAUACAAUUAAUAGACACUGUACAAACUAUUGAUAAUUCAGACACGAUUUUAGGUUUACCUACAUACGUAAGAAAUGCGUCAUCGAUACAAGUUCGAGGAAGAGGAUUCGUUUCUAGAGUUUCCAAAUGACGUUACAUUGAUGACUGUGAUAUAGGAAUCAUCGAGGUAAACAGAUACGUGGCUAUUGUCACGGACGAUAAGGGACGGGAGUUGCGUGUAUAAGUUGACUGUCACGGCUGUAAUUAUAUUUGCAAAUAUAUCGAUUAUAUUGAUCAUAUCAUAAAAAUUUGUUAAUUACCCGCAACGAAUUCCUAACCUAUCU